rnacentral:rRNA from 1 species
AACGAACGCUGGCGGCAUGCUUAACACAUGCAAGUCGAACGAGACCUUCGGGUCUAGUGGCGCACGGGUGCGUAACGCGUGGGAAUCUGCCCUUUAGACUGGGAUAUCCUUUGGAAACGAAGGUUAAUACCGGAUAUUAUGAGAUGGACGCAUGUUCAACUUAUGAAAGCUAAGUGCACUAGAGGAGGAGUUUGCGUCCCAUUAGCUAGUUGGUGAGGUAAAGGCUCACCAAGGCCACGAUGGGUAGCCGGCCUGAGAGGGUGAACGGCCACAAGGGAACUGAGACACGGUCCUUACUCCUACGGGAGGCAGCAGUGGGGAAUAUUGGACAAUGGACCAAAAGUCUGAUCCAGCAAUUCUGUGUGCACGAUGAAGGUCUUCGGAUUGUAAAGUGCUUUCAGUAGGGAAGAAAAAAAUGACGGUACCUACAGAAAAAGCGACGGCUAAAUAUGUGCCAGCAGCCGCAGUAAAAC